rnacentral:rRNA from 1 species
CCUACGGGAGGCAGCAGUGGGGAAUAUUGCACAAUGGGGGAAACCCUGAUGCAGCGACGCCGCGUGAAGGAAGAAGUAUCUCGGUAUGUAAACUUCUAUCAGCAGGGAAGAAAACAGACGGUACCUGACUAAGAAGCCCCGGCUAACUACGUGCCAGCAGCCGCGGUAAUACGUAGGGGGCAAGCGUUAUCCGGAUUCACUGGGUGUAAAGGGAGCGUAGACGGCGACGCAAGUCUGGAGUGAAAGCCCGGGGCCCAACCCCGGGACUGCUCUGGAAACUGCGUCGCUGGAGUACGGGAGGGGCG